UGGGGAAUAUUGGACAAUGGGGGAAACCCUGAUCCAGCGACGCCGCGUGGGUGAAGAAGGCCUGCGGGUUGUAAAGCCCUUUCGGUUGGGAAGAAAAGUUGCGACCUAACACGUCGCGACCUUGACGUAACCAACUAAGAAGCACCGGCUAACUCUGUGCCAGCAGCCGCGGUAAUACAGAGGGUGCGAGCGUUAAUCGGAAUUACUGGGCGUAAAGCGCGCGUAGGCGGCUUGGCAAGUCGGGUGUGAAAUCCCCGGGCUCAACCUGGGAACUGCAUUCGAGACUGCCUUGCUAGAGUAUGGGAGAGGGAAGUGGAAUUUCCGGUGUAGCGGUGAAAUGCGUAGAUAUCGGAAGGAACAUCGGUGGCGAAAGCGACUUCCUGGACUAAUACUGACGCUCAUGUGCGAAAGCGUGGGGAGCAAACA
rnacentral:rRNA from 1 species